rnacentral:RNase_P_RNA from 1 species
AGUAGGACAGACGAUCGCAGCCGCGCAAGCGGGUGAGGAAAGUCCGGGCUUCACAGGGCAGGAUGCCGGAUAACGUCCGGUGGAGGCGACUCCAAGGCCAGUGCAACAGAGAGAUACCGCCUGCCUUUGGCAGGUAAGGGUGGAAAGGCAGUGUAAGAGACUACCGUUCUGUCGGUAACGGCAGAAGCCAUGUAAACCCCAUCCGAAGCAAGACCGUAUGGAAACAAUAGAUUUGCCCGAUCUGUUUUCAGGUAGGUCGCUUGAGGCUGUCGGUAACGACAGUCCUAGAUAGAUGAUCGUCCAACGACAUAACCCGGCUUAUCGUCCUGCUUG